CACUCGUCGCUCGCCUCGCGCCGUCGCCCUUGUCUCACACAGCCUCGUGCAGUCGCCGCCCCCGCCUCGUGCAGCCACCGCCACCACCUUGCGCAGCCUCACGCCGUCCUCUCUGCUCACCCGGACAAGCGGGACAAGGGCACCGUUCAAGGAGAGGACAGGGGCGAUCGCGGUGAACCCUCCGUUCAUGGUACUGUAACGUCCAAGAUGUGGCACUAUCCAUAUUUGGGGAUUAGGUCUUAAUAUGGAUAGAGGCACAUCUUAGCGUUUCGCAAGUACAUAAAUCACCGCAAUACAUUUAUGAAGAGAAGAGUAUAUUGAUUAGCUUACACUCGCCACAAGUUAAGUUACAAGCCACACAACAUUAGUUCAAUCAUCCUAAGACCGGGUCCGGCUACAGACAAGAUAAAUGAUAAAAUGCAAUGACUCUGCCUCGUUAGUCUAGGAAACGAGCAAGGUCCUCUAAUCAUCGGGGUACAUUACGUACAAGCGCCCACUGCCUUCAUCGAAAUCCCAUUGAAGAUCGAUAACCCACAAGUAUAGGGGAUCGCAACAGUUUUCGAGGGUAGAGUAUUCAACCCAAAUUUAUUGAUUCAACUCAAGGGGAAGCGAAAGAAUAUUCUCAAGUAUUAGCAGUUGAGCUGUCAAUUCAACGACACCUAAAAGAUUUAGUAUCAGUAGCAAAGUAGGGUGAUAGCAGCAGUAGCAACAGUAACCAGUAGCAGCAAAGUAACAACAGUAGGAACAGAGUAACAACAGCAGCAGUCACAGCAGUAGCGGCAAAGUAACGUAGCAAGGACCAGUAGAAAAAGACUCGUAGGCAUUGGAUCAGUGAUGGAUGAUUAUGCCGGAUGUGAUUGAUCAUGCAACAGUUAUAACACGGAGAGAUAAGUAAAUAGCUCCAGUUCGUCAAUCUAAUGUAGGCAUGUAUUCCGCAUGUAGUCAUACGUGCUUAGGGAAAAUAACUUGCAUGACAUCUAUUGUCCAUCCCUCCCAUGGCAGCGGGGUCCUAAUGGAAACUACAGGAUAUUAAGGUUCUCCUUUGAAUAAAGAACCGGACCAAUGCAUUAACACUUGGUGAAUACAUGAACUCCUCAUACUAUGGUCAUCUCCGGGAGUGGUUCCGGCUAUUGUCACUCCGGGGUUGCAGGGUCAUAACACAUAGUAGGUGACUACAACUUGCAAGAUAGGAUCUAAAACACACAUAUAUUGGCGACAACAUAAUAGGUUCAGAUCUGAAAUCAUGGCACUCGAGCCCUAGUGACAAGCAUUAAGCAUGGCAAAGUAGUAGCAACAUCAAUCUCAGAACAUAGUGGAUACUAGGGAUCAAUUCCCGUCAAAACUAACUCGAUUACAUGAUAGAUCUCAUCCAACCCAUCACCGUCUAGAAAGCCUACGAAUAGAUUACUCACGAACGGUGAAGAGCAUCAUGGAAUUGGCGAUGAAGGAAGGUUGGUGAUGACGAUGGCGUCAAAGUUUGUUUUCUUGUGCUAAUGAUAUCACGAGUUUCUGUUUAAGUUUUGUGUUGUGAAGUUUUCAAGUUUUGGGUGAUGAUCUCAUGGACAAAGGGAUAAAGAGUGGAAAGAGCUCAAGCUUGGGGAUGCCCAAGGCAUCCCAAGCCAAAUUCAAGGACACCAAAAAGCCUAAGCUGGGGGAUGCCCCGGGAAGACAUCCCCUCUUUCGUCUCCAAUCCAUCGGUAAUAUUACUUGGAGCUAUAUUUUUAUUCACCACAUGAUAUGUGUUUUGCUUGGAGCGUCUUGUAUCAUAGGAGUCCUUUAUUUUUGUUGUGUCACAAUCAUCCUUGCUGCACACCUUUUGAGAGAGACAUGCACUCAUCGUGAAUUUUCUAGAAUACUCAUUGAGCUUCGCUUAUAUCUUUUGAGUUAGGCAAUUUAGCUCAUUGUGCUUCACUUAUAUCUUUUGAUCUAGAUAACUUUUCUCUUUGUGCUUCACUUAGAUCUUUUAGAGCACGGCGGUGUCAUAUUUUGGAGAAAUAAGAACUCUCGAUCUUCACUUAUAUCUUUUUGAGAGUGCUCUCUCUGAGUAACUUGGUAGUUGGCUUGUGUUAUGAAAGUAGUCCGAAAGAUGAUAGGCGCCCAAAGAGGAUACAAUAAAACUUCCAUAUUCAUGUGCAUUGAUUAGAAAGAGAAGUUUGAUUCCUCUCAAAUAGUUUUGAGACAUGGAUUUGGUAAUAUUAAGAGUUAUGCUAGUAGGGUGUUGUGAAUCUAGAAAUACUUGUGUUGAAGUUAGUGAUUCCCGUAACAUGCACGUAUGGUGGACCGCUAUGUUAGGAAGUCGGAGCAUAUUUGAUUUAUUGAUUGUCAUCCUUUGUGUUGCGGUCGGGAUUGCGCGAUGGUUAACACCUACCAACCCUUCCCCUAGGAGUAUGCGUUUAGCACUUUGUUUCGAUUACUAAUAAAAACUUUCGCAAUAAGUAUGUGAGUUCUUCAUGACUAAUGUGAGUCCAUGGUAUAGAUACACUUUCACCUUCCACCAUUGCUAGCCUCUCUAGUGCCGUGCAACUUUCGUCGGUACACAAAACCACAAUAUGCCUUCCUCAAAACAACCACCAUACCUACCUACUAUGGCAUUUUCAUAGCCAUUCCGAGAUAUAUUGCCAUGCAACUCCCACCGUUCGGUCUCAUGACUUGUGUCGUNNNNNNNNNNNNNNNNNNNNNNNNNNNNNNNNNNNNNNNNNNNNNNNNNNNNNNNNNNNNNNNNNNNNNNNNNNNNNNNNNNNNNNNNNNNNNNNNNNNNGUGAUCUCAUCCGGGACUCCGAACAACAUUCGGUAACCAACCAUAUAACUCAAAUACGCAUAAAACAACGUCGAACCUUAAGUGUGCAGACCCUGCGGGUUCGAGAACUAUGUAGACAUGACCCGAGUGACUCCUCGGUCAAUAUCCAAUAGCGGGACCUGGAUGCCCAUAUUGGAUCCUACAUAUUCUACGAAGAUCUUAUCGUUUGAACUUCAGUGCCAAGGAUUCAUAUAAUCCCGUAUGUCAUUCCCUUUGUCCUUCGGUAUGUUACUUGCCCGAGAUUCGAUCGUCAGUAUCCGCAUACCUAUUUCAAUCUCGUUUANCCGGCAAGUCUCUUUACUCAUUCCGUAAUACAAGAUCCCGCAACUUACACUAAGUCACAUUGCUUGCAAGGCUUGUGUGUGAUGUUGUAUUACCGAGUGGGCCCCGAGAUGCCUCUCCGUCACACGGAGUGACAAAUUCCAGUCUCGAUCCAUACUAACUCAACGAACACCUUCGAAGAUACCUGUAGAGCAUCUUUAUAGUCACCCAGUUACGUUGCGACGUUUGAUACACACAAAGCAUUCCUCNNNNNNNNNNNNNNNNNNNNNNNNNNNNNNNNNNNNNNNNNNNNNNNNNNNNNNNNNNNNNNNNNNNNNNNNNNNNNNNNNNNNNNNNNNNNNNNNNNNNACGGUGCCCUAUUUAAAGUGAAUGCUGCAGUUUCUAAUGCGUAUCCCCAAAAUGAUAGCGGUAAGUCGGUAAGAGACAUCAUAGAUCGUACCAUAUCUAAUAAAGUGCGAUUAUGACAUUCACACACCCCAUUACGUUGCGGUGUGCCAAGCGGCGUCAGUUGUGAAACGAUUCCACACUUCCUUAGGUGUGUGCCAAACUCGUGACUCAAAUAUUCUCCUCCACAAUCAGAUCGUAGACAUUUAAUUUUUUCUGUCACGUUGAUUCUCAACCUCACUCUGAAAUUCCUUGAACUUUUCAAACGUCUCAGAUUUGUGCUUCAUCAAGUAGAUAUACCCAUACCUACUCAAAUCAUCGGUGAGAGUGAGAACAUAACGAUAACCACCGCGAGCUUCAACGUUCAUUGGACCACACACAUCAGUAUGUAUUAUUUCCAAUAAGUCGGUUGCUCUCUCCAUUAUUCCUGAGAAUGGAGUCUUAGUCAUCUUGCCCAUGAGGCACAGUUCGCAUGUGUAAAAUGAUUCAAAGUCAAGAGACUCUAAUAGUCCAUCAAUAUGGAGCUUCUUCAUGCGCUUAACGCCGAUAUGACCAAGGCGGCAGUGCCACAAGUAUGUGGGACUGUCAUUAUCAACUUUACAUCUUUUGGUACUCACACUAUGAAUAUGUGUAACAUCACGAUCGAGAUUCAUCAAGAAUAAACCAUUCANNNNNNNNNNNNNNNNNNNNNNNNNNNNNNNNNNNNNNNNNNNNNNNNNNNNNNNNNNNNNNNNNNNNNNNNNNNNNNNNNNNNNNNNNNNNNNNNNNNNAGGUUGACUCGACGAGCUUAGCAUGUACAGACAUGACCUCGAAUACAAGAGACCGAAAGGUCGAACAUGAGUCGUAUGGUUGAAUACGAUCAGCAUGAAGUUGCUCACCAUGGUGACUAGUCCGUCUCACGUGAUGAUCGGACACGGGUUAGUCAACAUGGAUCAUGUAUCACUUAGAUGACUAGAGGGAUGUCGAUUUAAGUGGGAGUUCAUACUUAAUUUGAUUAAAUGAAAUUAAUUGUCAUGAACUUAGUCUAAAAGUUGUCUUUAUAAAUAUUGUAGAUGUCCAACGUCAACCUCAAUUUCAACGCAUUCCUAGAGAAAAACAAGCUGAAAGAUGAUGGUAGCAACUAUGCGGACUGGGUUUGCAACUUGAAGCUCAUCCUCGAAGCAGCUAAAAAGGCUUAUGUCCUUAAUGCGCCGCUAGGUGACCCUCCCGCUCCCGCAGCAGCCCAGGACAUUCUGAACGUCUGGCAAACGCGGAGUGAUGACUACUCUCUGGUCAGGUGUGGCAUGUUAUACAGUUUAGAAACGGGGCUCCAAAGGCGUUUUGAGCAACAUGGGGCAUAUGAGAUGUUCCAGGAGCUACAGCUAGUUUUUCAAGCUCAUGCCCGUGUCGAGAGAUAUGAAGUCUCCGACAAGUUCUUCAGCUGUAAGAUGGAGGAGAACAGUUCUGUCAGUGAGCACAUACUCAAAAUGUCUGGGUUACACGGUCGUCUGACUUCACUUGGAGUCGAACUUCCGGAUGAUGCUAUUAUUGACAGAAUCCUCCAGUCUCUCCCACCAAGCUACAAAGGCUUUGUGCUUAACUACAAUAUGCAAGGGAUGGAGAAGACCAUUCCCGAGUUGUACUCGCUGCUCAACUCUGCAGAAGUAGAAAUCAAGAAAGAGCAUCAAGUCUUGAUGGUCAACAAGACCACUAGUUUCAAGAAAGGCAAGGGUAAGAAGAACUUCAAGAAAGACGGCCAAGCUGUUGCCGCGCCCGGUAAGCCAGAUGCCGGGAAGAAGAAAAAGAACGGACCCAAGCCUGAGACUGAGUGCUUCUAUUGCAAGGGAAAGGGUCACUNNNNNNNNNNNNNNNNNNNNNNNNNNNNNNNNNNNNNNNNNNNNNNNNNNNNNNNNNNNNNNNNNNNNNNNNNNNNNNNNNNNNNNNNNNNNNNNNNNNNUCUCUCCUACUCUAGUCGGAUUGGAUUUGAUGAAAAGGGUCCUUAUGAAGGGUAAAUAGCUUUGGCAUAUAAUCGUUGUGGCUGUCACGUAGGUAAGAAGGCGUUCUUGCUAGAAACCCAAAUCAGCCACGUAAAACUUGCAACAACAAUUAGAGGACGUCUAACUUGUUUUUGCAGGGUUUGACAUGUGAUGUGAUAUGGCCAAAGUUGUGAUGUUGCAUGUAUAAUGUAUGAGAUGAUCAUGUUAUUGUAAUAGGUUUCACGACUUGCAUGUCGAUGAGUAUGACAACCGGCAGGAGCCAUAGGAGUUGUCUUAAUUUAUUGUAUGAGAUGCAACGCCAUGUGCUUACUACUUUUACUUCAUUGCUAACAGUUAGCUAUAGUAGUAGUGAUAGUAGUAGUUGGCGUGACGACAUCACAGAGACACGAUGAUGGAGAUCAUGAUGAUGGAGAUCAUGGUGUCACGCUGGUGACGAUGAUGAUCAUGCGAUGCCUGAAGAUGGAGAUCGAAAGAGCAAAGAUGAUAAUGGCCAUAUCAUGUCACUAUAUGAUUGCAUUGUGAUGUUUAUCAUGUUUUACAUCUUAUUGCUUAAAACGACGGUAGCAUAAUAAGAUGAUCCCUCUUAAAAUUUCAAGAACGUAUUCCCCUAAGUGUGCACCGUUGCGAAGGUUCAUUGUCUCGAAGCACCACGUGAUGAUCGGGUGUGAUAGAUUCUAACAUUCGCAUACAACCGGUGUAAGCCAGAUUUACACACGCGAAACACCUAGGUUGACUCGACGAGCUUAGCAUGUACAGACAUGACCUCGAAUACAAGAGACCGAAAGGUCGAACAUGACUCGUAUGGUUGAAUACGAUCAGCAUGCAGUUGCUCACCAUGGUGACUAGUCCGUCUCACGUGAUGAUCGGACACGGGUUAGUCAACAUGGAUCAUGUAUCACUUAGAUGACUAGAGGGAUGUCGAUUUAAGUGGGAGUUCAUACUUAAUUUGAUUAAAUGAAAUUAAUUGUCAUGAACUUAGUCUAAAAGUUGUCUUUAUAAAUAUUGUAGAUGUCCAACGUCAACCUCAAUUUCAACGCAUUCCUAGAGAAAAACAAGCUGAAAGAUGAUGGUAGCAACUAUGCGGACUGGGUUNNNNNNNNNNNNNNNNNNNNNNNNNNNNNNNNNNNNNNNNNNNNNNNNNNNNNNNNNNNNNNNNNNNNNNNNNNNNNNNNNNNNNNNNNNNNNNNNNNNNAAUACCCAGGAGCUACUACGAGCGCUGGUAAGGUACACAUCAAUAACAUGUAUAUCACAUAUACCUUUAACGUUGCCGGCCUUCUUGUCCGCUAAGUAUUUGGGGCAGUUCCGCUUCCAGUGACCCUUUCCCUUGCAAUAGAAGCACUCAGUCUCAGGCUUGGGUCCGUUCUUUUUCUUCUUCCCGGCAUCUGGCUUACCGGGCGCGGCAACAGCUUGGCCGUCUUUCUUGAAGUUCUUCUUACCCUUGCCUUUCUUGAAACUAGUGGUCUUGUUGACCAUCAAAACUUGAUGCUCUUUCUUGAUUUCUACUUCUGCAGAAUUGAGCACCGAGUACAACUCGGGAAUGGUCUUCUCCAUCCCUUGCAUGUUGUAGUUAAGCACAAAGCCUUUGUAGCUUGGUGGGAGAGACUGGAGGAUUCUGUCAAUUAUAGCAUCAUCCGGAAGUUCGACUCCAAGUGAAGUCAGACGACCGUGUAACCCAGACAUUUUGAGUAUGUGCUCACUGACAGAACUGUUCUCUUCCAUCUUACAGCUAAAGAACUUGUCGGAGACUUCAUAUCUCUCGGCACGGGCAUGAGCUUGAAAAACUAGCUUCAUCUCCUGGAACAUCUCAUAUGCCUCAUGUUGCUCAAAACGCCUUUGGAGCCCCGUUUCUAAACUGUAUAACAUGCUACACCUAACCAGAGAGUAGUCAUCACUCCGCGUUUUCCAGACGUUCAGAAUGUCCUGGGCUGCUGCGGGAGCGGGAGGGUCACCUAGCGGCGCAUCAAGGACAUAAGCCUUUUUAGCUGCUUCAAGGACGAGCUUCAAGUUGCGAACCCAGUCCGCAUAGUUGCUACCAUCAUCUUUCAGCUUGUUUUUCUCUAGGAAUGCGUUGAAAUUGAGGUUGACGUUGGACAUCUACAAUAUUUAUAAAGACAACUUUUAGACUAAGUUCAUGACAAUUAAGUUCAUUUAAUCAAAUUAAAUAUGAACUCCCACUUAAAUCGACAUCCCUCUAGUCAUCUAAGUGAUACAUGAUCCAUGUUGACUAACCCGUGUCCGAUCAUCACGUGAGACGGACUAGUCACCAUGGUGAGCAACUCCAUGCUGAUCGUAUUCAACCAUACGAAUCAUGUUCGACCUUUCGGUCUCUUGUAUUCGAGGUCAUGUCUGUACAUGCUAAGCUCGUCGAGUCAACCUNNNNNNNNNNNNNNNNNNNNNNNNNNNNNNNNNNNNNNNNNNNNNNNNNNNNNNNNNNNNNNNNNNNNNNNNNNNNNNNNNNNNNNNNNNNNNNNNNNNNGCGGAGACUGGCCAAGGACGAGGUGACGAUGCGCGUCGGGAAUGGUUCAAAGGUCGAUGUGAUCGCCGUCAGCACGCUGCCUCUACAUCUACCGUCGGGAUUAGUUUUAAACCUUAAUAAUUGUUAUUUAGUACCAGCUUUAAGCAUGAACAUUGUAUCAGGGUCUUGCUUAAUGCGAGACGGCUACUCAUUUAAGUCAGAGAAUAAUGGUUGUUCUAUUUAUAUGAGUGAUAUGUUUUAUGGUCAUGCUCCGCUGGUGAAUGGUUUAUUCUUGAUGAAUCUCGAUCGUGAUGUUACACAUAUUCAUAGUGUGAGUACCAAAAGAUGCAAAGUUGAUAAUGAUACUCCCACAUACUUGUGGCACUGCCGCCUUGGUCAUAUCGGCGUUAAGCGCAUGAAGAAGCUCCAUACUGAUGGACUAUUAGAGUCUCUUGACUUUGAAUCAUUUGACACAUGCGAACCGUGCCUCAUGGGCAAGAUGACUAAGACUCCAUUCUCAGGAAUAAUGGAGAGAGCAACCGACUUAUUGGAAAUAAUACAUAUUGAUGUGUGUGGUCCAAUGAACGUUGAAGCUCGCGGUGGUUAUCGUUAUGUUCUCACUCUCACCGAUGAUUUGAGUAGGUAUGGGUAUAUCUACUUGAUGAAGCACAAAUCUGAGACGUUUGAAAAGUUCAAGGAAUUUCAGAGUGAGGUUGAGAAUCAACGUGACAGAAAAAUUAAAUGUCUACGAUCUGAUCGUGGAGGAGAAUAUUUGAGUCACGAGUUUGGCACACACCUAAGGAAGUGUGGAAUCGUUUCACAACUGACGCCGCCUGGCACACCGCAGCGCAACGGAGUGUCUGAACGUCGUAAUCGCACUUUAUUAGAUAUGGUACGAUCUAUGAUGUCUCUCACCGACUUACCGCUAUCAUUUUGGGGAUACGCAUUAGAAACUGCAGCAUUCACUUUAAAUAGGGCACCGUCUAAAUCCGUUGAGACGACACCGUAUGAACUAUGGUUUGGCAAGAAACCUAAGUUGUCGUUUCUUAAAGUUUGGGGCUGCGAUGCUUAUGUGAAGAAACUUCAACUAGAAAAGCUCCAACCCAAAGAGGAGAAAUGCGUAUUCAUAGGAUACCCUAAGGAAACUAUUGGGUAUACCUUCUAUCUUAGAUCCGAAGGUAAAACCUUUGUUGCCAAGAACGGAUCCUUUCUAGAGAAAGAGUUUCUCUCGAAAGAAGUAAGUGGGAGGAAGGUAAAACUUGAUGAGGUAAUUGCACCCCCUCUCGAACAGGAAAGUAGCGCAGCGCGGGAAGUUGUUCCUGUGGCGCCUAUACCGAAUGAAGAGGAAGUUAAUGAUGAUGAUCAUGAAGCUUCGGAUCAAGUUACUACUGAACCGCGAAGGUCCACAAGGGCACGCUCCGCACCAGAGUGGUACGGCAACCCUGUGAUGGAAAUCAUGUUGUUAGACAAUGGUGAGCCUUCGAACUAUGAAGAAGCAAUGGCGGGCCCGGAUUCCAACAAAUGGCUUGAGGCUAUGAAAUCCGAGAUAGGAUCCAUGUAUGAGAACAAAGUAUGGACUUUGGUGGACUUGCCCGAUGACCGGCGAGCCAUAGAAAAUAAAUGGAUCUUCAAGAAGAAGACUGAUGCAAACGGUAAUGUAACCGUUUACAAAGCUCGACUUGUCGCAAAGGGUUUUCGACAAAUUCAAGGAGUUGACUACGAAGAGGCUUUCUCUCCCGUAGCGAAGCUGAAAUCAGUUCGAAUCAUGUUAGCAAUUGCCGCCUUUUAUGAUUAUGAAAUUUGGGAAAUGGACGUCAAAACAGCGUUCCUUAACGGGAACCUUAAGGAAGAGUUGUAUAUGAUGCAACCAGAAGGUUUUGUCGACCCUAAGGGUGCUAACAAAGUGUGCAAGCUCCAGCGCUCCAUCUAUGGGCUGGUGCAAGCAUCUCGGAGUUGGAACAUUCGCUUUAAUGAGGUAAUUAAAGCGUUUGGGUUCAUACAGGUUUACGGAGAAACCUGUCUGUACAAGAAAGUGAGUGGGAGCUCUGUAGCUUUCCUCAUACUAUAUGUGGAUGACAUAUUAUUGAUGGGGAAUAAUAUAGAGAUGUUGGAGAGCAUAAAGGCCUAUUUGAACAAGAGUUUUUCAAUGAAGGACCUUGGAGAAGCUGCAUACAUAUUAGGCAUCAAGAUCUAUAGAGAUAGAUCGAGACGCCUCAUAGGUCUUUCGUAAAGUACAUACCUUGACAAGAUAUUGAAGAAGUUCAAUAUGGAAAACUCAAAGAAAGGGUCAUUGCCAGUUUUGCAAGGUAUGAGAUUGAGUAAGACUCAGUCGCCGACCACGGCAGUAGAUAGAGAGAAGAUGAGUUAUGUCCCCUACGCUUCAGCCGUGGGCUCUCUAAUGUAUGCCAUGUUGUGUACCAGACCUGAUAUAAACCUUGCCAUAAGUUUGGUAGGGAGGUACCAAAGUAAUCCCGGUACGGAACACUCGACAGCGGUCAAGAAUAUCCUUAAGUACCUGAAAAGGACUAAGGAAAUAUUUCUCGUUUAUGGAGGUGACGAAGAGCUCGUCGUAAAGGGUUACGUCGACGCUAGCUUCGACAUAGAUCCGGAUGACUCUAAGUCACAGACCGGAUACGUAUAUGUGUUGAAUGGUGGGGCAGUGAGCUGGUGCAACAGCAAGCAAGAAGUCGUGGCAGCAUCUACAUGUGAAGCGGAGUACAUAGCUGCUUCAGAAGCGGCUCAUGAAGGAAUUUGGAUGAAGGAGCUCAUCACUGACCUUGGAGUGGUUCCAAGCGCGUCGGGUCCCAUGACACUCUUCUGUGAUAACACUGGAGCCAUUGCCAUAGCCAAGGAGCCCAGGUUUCACUGAAAGACGAAGCACAUCAAGCGCCGCUACAACUCCAUCCAGGACCAUGUCCAGAGUGGAGUGAUAGAUAUUUGUAAAGUACACACGGAUCUGAAUAUUGCAGACCCGUUGACUAAACCUCUUCCACGAGCAAAACAUGAUCAACACCAUAAUGCUAUGGGUGUUCGAUACAUCACAAUGUAACUAGAUUAUUGACUCUAGUGCAAGUGGGAGACUGUUGGAAAUAUGCCCUAGAGGCAAUAAUAAAAUGGUUAUUAUCAUAUUUCCUCGUUCAUGAUAAUCGUCUAUUGUUCAUGCUAUAAUUGUAUUAACAGGAAACAGUAAUACAUGUGUGAAUAAAUAGAUCACAAUGUGUCCCUAGGAAGCCUCUAGUUGGCUAGCUCGUUAGUCAAUAGAUGAUCAUGGUUUCCUGAUCAUGGGCAUUAGAUGUCAUUGAUAACGGGAUCACAUCAGUGGGAGAAUGAUGUGAUGGACAAGACCCAAUCCUAAGCCUAGCACUAGAUCGUAUUGUUCGUAUGCUAAUGCUUUUCUAAUGUCAAGUAUCUUUUCCUUCGACCGUGAGAUUGUGCAACUCCCAGAUGCCGUAGGAGUGCUUUGGGUGUAUCAAACGUCACAACGUAACUGGGUGACUAUAAAGGUGCACUACGGGUAGGGGGGGGGGGGGGGGUUGGGUUGGUACGAAUCGAGAUCGGGAUUUGUCACUCCGUGUGACGGAGAGGUAUCUCUGGGCCCACUCGGUAGAACAUCAUCAUGAGCUCAAUGUGACUAAGGAGUUAGUCACACGAUGAUGUGCUACGGAACGAGUAAAGAGACUUACCGGUAACGAGAUUGAACAAGGUAUAGGUAUACCGACGAUCGAAUCUCGGGCAAGUUCUAUACCGACAGACANNNNNNNNNNNNNNNNNNNNNNNNNNNNNNNNNNNNNNNNNNNNNNNNNNNNNNNNNNNNNNNNNNNNNNNNNNNNNNNNNNNNNNNNNNNNNNNNNNNNGGGGGGGGGGGAGGGUGUUAGAUUUGUAUUGCCCCUUUUUUGUAUAUCCCCAUUAUAUAAGGGGUUUCUACCACUUUUACCAUAUGUAUAUAUAUUGGCCUUUGGCCCCUGUGAAUAUUUGCUCAUUAUCUAACAGAUCCAACACAAGGUUGGGUCGAAGCUAGUUUAUAUCUGGGACGUUACACCAACCUCUCAAGCCAAUCCAACAUUGCAGACAGAUUUAUGAUACACUUCCUUUUCACGAGCCCGAGGCAAUGUACCUAUGUCAAAAAAAGUAGGAGUUCGAGGCAAUGUACCUAAUACAAACUGUGAAGCCUUCCCACCUAGGCUAUACAUGAGGUCCUUGAGAUGCUCUAUAAGAUAUCGGUUAAAAGAGAAAACGUCCAAAAUAAGAGAAAUAUAACUAUAUUUUUUUUGUAUUUGUCGCUUCAAAGGAUCAGUAUGUUGGACAAGAAGAGAAGCACUGAAGUAGCAUCACUCAUCAUCAAGGUCAAAAUCGUUGUCCGAUGCGCACUCGAGAUAUGAACCAAUCGACUUGCGGAAGAUGAUGAAAGACUUGUCAUCCUGUGAAAAAAGAAUGCAUUAUUUUGCAGGAAGAGGUGUUUCAAGCCAUGGAACAAAAAAAACUGGCUGGUCAUUCAGCUUUAGGCCUGACGGGUAGCUAAAAAUGAAGUCUAAGAAAUGCAAGCAGUUGUGAAUUUUGCCACACCUGCUUCAUCCUUUUCAGUGAUGGUUUGGCAUUUGUUAUCUUAUCUGAUAAGGUGUCACCAUGUUCUGACAAUGUAGCCGUCUCCUCCCCUGUUUGAAGGAUUUGAGUGUAAGAGCAGCAUAUUUCCAUCCAAGGGAAAUAAUGAAUCCUCUAGCUACUUACUUUGAUAUUCAUACUGCUCAAGCAGUUUCUUUUUCUCAACUUCAAUUUGUGAGGAUAGAUCUGCAUAAUAGGACAUGUAACAAGUCAAAUAAGAGCCAAAUAUUUUUGCAGAUUCAAUGAGAUCUGAACGUCUUUUAUGGGAACAUCAUCCAAAUAAUGCUGAGUCGCUAAUAAGCAGUAGCCAAGCAAUGCAUAUUUAGAAACAACACACAUAAUUUGAAUACAAGUGUCAUGUAGAUUCUAUUUGCAUCAAAACCAGGUAUCUCAAUAUUUUUUCUAAAGAUAAGAAUCACAGCUCAUACGUAGUAGCCGAUUACACCAAAUGAGAAACAACCAUCACACGUCACAAUGCCCUAAAAUCCUAGAUAGACCUGGAUAGAAGCACAUGAUAUACUUGUGAAAAUGACAACCAGCUCUUAUUUGACAUACCUUUGAAGGUUUGUAAGUGUGCAUCAUUUUCUUCGCAGAACAUUUCAUAUGUUUCCUGAAGCUUGGUGUACUCUUCGUUCAAUGAACUUUCACACUGCUAAUAGUGCAAAUUACACGCCAUAAUUCAAUCUUAGGCAAAUCAGCAAGUAAGUCGACAAUUCCAAAGAAUUGUAAACUGUGUACCUCUUUCGAAGUGCUUGACAGUACUUUCAGCAAAUUCUGCCUGCACAUGCAAAUAUAACAGUGACACUACGUUCUAAAUAAAAACGAACAAGCUUCCUUUUCUGACAGAACUGGUUUCAGGCGUAAUUGUUCAUGCAGGCAUCGUUUCACAGUUCACAAGCAAGUGAGUUACCUUUCCUUCUCAAACUUGGACUUGGUAUCUUCAAGCAUAGUCUGAAUAUUGGCUGCAACACUGUCAGGUUUAGAAAAGUAAAGGAAUAAACAGGGUAAGAAGAAGGUAAAAGAAUAAUGAUCAGCAACAUUAUGCGCUUCAAACUUCACAGUUCAGUCAGCGGAGUCCCUGUUAGUCCACAUGUUAUAAUUUUCGGCUUCUUUUCCUCCCCGAUGCCUGUGUAAAUAAUUCUUUGUAAUAGUUCUGAGAAGUUUAUAGAAAUGUUCAGGCUGGCUUUGCCGGCCGUAGUUCUGAAAAUCAACUCACCCGAACAAAGCCACACCAUGACAUAAGUACAAAACAUGAAUCCGGGAACCCAUCAAAUUAAUAUGUCCAUUUUCCUCGCAUCACUCACAAUGCAUAUCGCUCCGCAUAAUAUACAAAAACUGACAUAUCACCGAACGAACCUAGUUCCUGCAUUAAUCACAGAAACAGCCGAGUGGACGCAUUGCAGGAUUGCAAACGUGCAACAUUUAUUUGUAUCCCUCCCAGUGACCAUGAACUGUAAGUUUUCCACACAAAUCCGCCAGCACGAAAUGCAUCAUAAGAAGCUGCUAGGAUAGCAUACGCCGAUCCCAAUUUUUUUGCACGCUAGCACAUAGCGAGAUAAGAGAAAAUUUAGAGGUGCAAGUGCAACCGAAAGAACACUGUUCUCCGCACCUGGCGAUGAUCUGCUCGCACAUCUUCUGGCCAGCCUUGUUGGUCCCGCCCUUGAUCAACCGCAGCAGGCACGCGAUCUGCCUCAAGUCGCUGCGCCCGCCACAAAAGUAGCCAUCACGGAGUUAAAGCGAGAAGGAAUUAGAAACGGGAGACACCGAAUCGAAGAGGAAAAGCUCGAAAUCAGAUGUGCGGCACCUGACGAAAUCGCCGUCAGAUUCCGAGCCGGAGCUGGAGCCGGAAUCGGAACCGGAGCCGAAAUCCACGGGGUGGCGCGGCCUCUUCGACGACCGCAGAGCCUCUUCACCCAGGGACAUCCUCCUUCCGCCGCCGGGACUCGCCGCGGGCCGCAUCGCUGGUCGACGAGCGUAGUGCAGCGCAAUUCGAAAUUUGGAGGGGGAGCGAGAGGGUAGUGAUGUAAUACUGGCAAAAUUUUGGUGGCCCACUCACAGUAUUGGCUUUUGUAAGGGAAAGUGUUCGUGCGCGCAAGGCUACGAGCAACUAGUUCCUCCUCUUGUAAUUUUUUUUUCCUUCGACGCGUCCGUUGAAGUGUUCGGCCGGUCGCGUUCCUUCCUCACGUUUUUCUUCCACCUUUUCCUUUUCCCCUCCCGCGCACACUCGGAUUUUUUCACUGUUUUAACCUUUUUUCUAAANNNNNNCACAAAAUGAACCAGAUUUGAAACCAUUUCACGAUCUGACCCUUUUAAAAACGCCACAAGCCGUGGCGUUGCUNNNNNNNNNNNNNNNNNNNNNNNNNNNNNNNNNNNNNNNNNNNNNNNNNNNNNNNNNNNNNNNNNNNNNNNNNNNNNNNNNNNNNNNNNNNNNNNNNNNNUGGACAAGAAUACAUGGAGUUACUCAAGCCAUUGAAUCAUUUGACUUUGUUUUCAAUCUUCACUUGAUGCUUGUUAUUCUUGGCUAUACAAAUGAGUUGUCCAAAUCUUUGCAAAAGAGAGAUCAAGAUACUAUUAAUGCAGUGGCACUUGUUAGUUUGGCAAAGAGUAGAAUGCGACACAUGAGGUGUCAUGGUUAGGAAGAAUUUCUUGCAAAGCUAACCCUAUUUUGCCAGAAACAUGACAUUCAAGUUCCUUUGUGGGAGGAUACUUAUGCAGGGGCAGAAUUAGCAUGGGUUCACGUCUAGGGCCAAAUUAGCUUCAGUGGUGUAUUUUAGAGAUUUUUUGUACUUAGUAAGUAGGUAUUACAAAGACUAUUGUCACUACACCUAGGGCUAUAGCCCCAUUUUCCCUAGGCCUGAUUCCAACAUUGUACUUAUGAGCAUCAUGGAAUAUCACGUUGGUAUAAUGAAGUUCAAACAAAUGAUGAUCGUUAUAAAAGAGAAGUAUAUCUUGGUGUCAUUGAUCAAACCAUUCUAUCCCAUGGACAUAUCAAGCACGGAUUUGAUAAGGCUAGAAUUUCAACUUGCUACUUUUAUUGAUGAUACGAGACAAGAUGAUAUUGGUGAGCUCUCUAUUUUACUUGUUGCAACAAAGAAUCAUAUUCUCUAUGAUUUGGUCUACUUACUCAUCAAAUUGAUAUUGAUUUUACCGAUGGCAACAACGAGUGUUGAAAGGGUAUUUUCUGCAAUGAAUCUAGUGAAAAAUAAAUUAAGGACUAGUAUGGGUGAUGAUCGUUUGGUGACAAUUAUUAAGCGAGAUGUGUUCAUGAAAGUAAAUGAAGAUGACAUAGUUGAUGCUUUCAUGACAAUGCAACGACGUAGAGUUACCUAGUGUUGUAAUUUUCUACUUCUGUUACUUUCAUGUAAGUCUUUUCUAUUGUAACUGGGCACAUUUGAAAUACAUUUUAUGUACUAAAUGGUUGUGAGAUUUCAAUUGAGCUAUUUAUGUUACUCAUUUGACAUAUUUUGAUACAUUUGGAUUAGGUAGGAAAAAAAUAGAGUGCGCAUGCCCUUUAUUUUAUUCCUGGGUACCCACACAAUGGAACGCAAAAAUAUCCAGCCGAGCGAGCAGUAAAUCCACCAUACGGGAUGUGCAUACUUAAUACUCCUACAUUGCAACAAAUAAUCGUGAAAAAAAAUGGAAAAAGAAACCAUAUGCGAUCAGGCACAUGACGAAGGAAGGGUCACAUGAAUGAAGAAGAGAGAAAAGCCACAUAUCGACCCGAAUAGCGAAGUGUGGGAGCCGCGAUGGCGGGCACUGGCAGCCAUACAUUGGGCUAUCCAAAAUCUCAUCUCUCGCCCAAUCCCGGCCUCACGAUCUCAAUUCUCACCCCGCGUGCACCACAAGCUCCAAUCCCCUAACUCGUAUAUACAGCCACGCCCGCCUCACCGUCCUUGAUCUUCCCCCCUAUCUGAUCGGAUCCUUUGGACAUGGCGUCGCCCAUGCUCUCCACGGCCAUGGCGCCACUCCAGGUAUUGCUCGUGUUCCAUUUCCAUUCCAUGCUUGCGUAGUAGUACAGUUCUUCCAUGUUUGUGACGCGCGGUGGUUAUGUAACUGGACUGCCAUGCAUCCUCUGUCGAUCCAGGGGGGCAUGCUGGAGUUCUCCGGGCUGAGGAGCUCGUCGUCGCUGCCGCUCCGGCGGAAUGCCACCUCCGACGACUUCAUGUCCGCCGUCUCCUUCAGGACAUACGCGGUAUGAUAUGAAUAUGAUGGGCGGAAUGUGGCUGUCACCUAGGAGUACGUAGCUCGCUUGGUCGCAUGCCAUGAGACAUGAGCGGCGCGUGGUACGGUGGUUGCAGGUGAGCACGAGCGGCGGGUCGCGGAAGGCGCCGACGGAGGCGAAGCUCAAGGUGGCGAUCAACGGGUUCGGGCGCAUCGGGCGCAACUUCCUGCGGUGCUGGCACGGGCGCGGCGACAGCUCGCCGCUGGAGGUGAUCGCCAUCAACGACACCGGAGGCGUGAAGCAGGCGUCCCACCUCCUCAAGUACGACUCCACGCUGGGCAUCUUCGACGCGGACGUCAAGCCCGUGGGCGACAACGCCAUCUCCGUCGACGGCAAGGUGAUCAAGGUCGUGUCCGACCGCAACCCCUCCAACCUGCCGUGGGGCGAGAUGGGCAUCGACCUCGUCAUCGAGGGCACCGGCGUCUUCGUCGACCGCGCCGGCGCGGGCAAGCAUCUCGAGGCCGGAGCCAAGAAGGUGCUCAUCACCGCGCCCGGCAAGGGCGACAUCCCCACCUACGUCUGCGGCGUCAACGCCGACCUCUACACCCACGCCGACACCAUCAUCAGCAACGCCUCAUGCACCACCAACUGCCUCGCCCCCUUCGUCAAGGUCCUCGACCAAAAGUUCGGUACGUGCCCGUCUCCCUCCCUCUCUCUCUCUCUCAACUGAAUCAACUUGUUGACGAUGACUAAUGGCGGCGGUGGCAAUGGCGCAGGCAUCAUCAAGGGAACCAUGACCACAACCCACUCGUACACCGGCGACCAGAGGCUGCUCGACGCGAGCCACCGCGACCUGCGCCGUGCCCGCGCCGCCGCCCUCAACAUAGUGCCGACCUCCACCGGCGCGGCCAAGGCCGUGGCGCUGGUGCUCCCCAACCUCAAGGGCAAGCUCAACGGGAUCGCGCUCCGGGUGCCCACCCCCAACGUGUCCGUCGUCGACCUCGUGGUGCAGGUCUCCAAGAAGACCCUCGCCGAGGAGGUGAACCAGGCGUUCCGCGACGCCGCCGCCAACGAGCUCAAGGGCAUCCUCGACGUCUGCGACGAGCCCCUCGUGUCCGUCGACUUCAGGUGCUCCGACGUCUCCUCCACCAUCGACGCGUCGCUCAGCAUGGUCAUGGGAGACGACAUGGUCAAGGUCAUUGCAUGGUACGACAACGAGUGGGGUUACUCCCAGAGGGUCGUCGACCUCGCCGACAUCGUCGCCAACCAAUGGAAGUGAACGCCCCCCCACAGCGGCAUUGCCCUGUCAAGUGACUCCUCUCGAAAUUUUCCCCAGCCGUCGUCACGGAUGAUCGAUUCUUUGUAAUGAGAAUUCAAAGUAUCGAGCUCCCAACAC
rnacentral:lncRNA from 1 species